AACCAACUGGGAUCUCUUCAGUAAUUGCGCAUGAACCAGGAUAUGCUUAGCUUGACAAAUGGAGCUGCUGGCUCUGAAUUGUAUUGUGGGAAUGUAUUACCAACAGAGGUGCAGGUGUCAGCCAUUUGAAAGAAAGCAUCAAUGAGGGUGAGAGUCCUGUUUGUCAUGUGCAGCCUUCUGUGCACGGUGUAUAUUUGCUGAGUCACACUCCUUGGCAUUGGAAUGCAAAGUGGGUGGUAAGUUUCAUGCAAAGGUAAAUAUGCAAUUGAGACUGAUAGCGCACAAGUACCAUGAGGGACAUAUGAAAAGGACUUUGAAAAGAGAAUUAAAUGAGUUUGUAUUUGCUAAACACAAAGUAAACAGACUUGAUUUCCUCAGUGAGAUUGUAGUGCUUGCUUGACAAUGGGUUUUGGCUGCAAGUGCAAUAAUUCUUGCUUUGUGUGCCAGUUUUUAUGUGGACAUUUGAUUACCUUUGCACAUGAAUGGUAAUUUUCCUGCGGGGUGUGGAUUGCAUAUGCAUGUAAUGAUUUGCAUGUUUGUUAAAUGUGUCUGGUGUAUUUGUUUGUGUCCUUGUCCUUGAGGUUGCUUUCUCCCUUGGGCUUACAUGCCCUGGCACACACAUUCUGGCAAAAUGCUUCUGCUUGACCCGUCUUGAAACACGGACCAAGGAGUCUAACAGAUGUGCAAGUUUGAAGGUGGUAUACCUGUGUGUGUAAUGAAAGUAUUGGCUGGGAUAUUUGCACCAGCAGCCGACUAAUUAGCAGACAGAGGUUUGAGUUGGAGCAUAUCUAUUAGGACCCGAAAGAUGGUGAACUAUGCUUGAACAGAAAGAAUUCAGAGGAAACUCUGAUGGAGGUUCGUAUCGAUACUGACGUGCAAAUCGUUCGUCAUAUUUGGGUAUAGGGGCGAAAGACUAAUCGAACCAUCUAGUAGCUGGUUCCCUCCGAAGUUUCCCUCAGGAUAGCUGGAGUUGCACAGUUUUAUCAGGUAAAGCGAAUGAUUAGAGGAAUUGGGGACAGAUGUGUCCUUGACCUAUUCUCAAACUUUAAAUGGGUAAUAUGUAGUGGUUGCUUGAUGGAACUUCUAAAAUGAAUGGCAAUAUUAGGUGGGCCAUUUUUGGUAAGCAGAACUGGCGAUGAGGGAUGAACCUAAUGCUGGGUUAAGGUGCUUAAUUACUUGCUCAUUUGAUACCAGAAAGGGUGUUGGUUCAUUUUAACAGCAGGACGGUGGUCAUGGAAGUCGAAAUCCGCUAAGGAGUGUGUAACAACUCACCUCCCGAAUGGACUAGCCCCGAAAAUGGAUGGCGCUCAAGCGGGUGACUGAUACCCAACCACUGUUGCAAACAACAUCAAUGUGUAGGAGGGCAUGGUGGCUUGUGAAACA
rnacentral:rRNA from 1 species